UGGCGACUUUUUCUUCUGACAUUCAUUCACCAUUUCUACGCACAUCCCAUUACUUGCUCCAUUCUCCAUUUUGCCUUUCAAUUAUACAUCAUACACAUACCUCUCAGUUUUACUCCGUUUUCCAUUCUUCAUCCCAGUUAUACAUCACAAUCACAAGAUUCUUUUGCUAUCUUCAUUAAAAAAUUUGGGGAUGGAAUUCAUAGGUGGAAAAAGGACAGGUAGACCCAAAGGUGAGUUCAACGACAAUGGCGGUUUCAAGAAAUCGAAGUAAUAUUUGUUUUUCAUUCUUUUUUACACUCGUUAUUAGUUCUAGGGCUUUUUUUUUUUCCCUUUUCUUCUUUUUUUUUCAGCUACUUGCAGGUUUUACAUUGAACUUUGAGAAGGGAAAUCAAAAUUCUAGGUUAAAAGUCUGGCAUUCCAACAUUUGAAAGCUGGGCUUGAGGAAAAUUGAAUAGAAUUAGCUAAACAAUAUUGUAAACAUUUGGCAAUUAGAAAGAAAAUGGCUCGUUUGGCUUGAUGCUAUGAAAAUCAUAGUGUAUAAUUGGGUUGUUGUUGAUUCAAGAGAAGAUGGUUAUGAGAGGAAUAGUUUGUGUAUAUUAAUUUUGACCUUUUCUCAUCAAUAUUAUUAUUAUUUUAAAAUUUCAAAUUUUAGAUGUUAUGAUUUCUCCCACCUUGAAAUAAAUCUUUAGGAUUACCCUUUUUCCAAGUUUUUUUGUUGUAUUAAAUUUAUGAUGUUUGAAUUAAAUCAUAUGUAAAUGCGUUCUCCACUUGCCAGAGCUCGAGCUGAUUAUGAUUAUAUCUCAUCAAGCUGUUGUUGAUCGGCAAUAGUGGUAUGUGUUUCACGUACUUAACACUUUCACAUUCUGAUCGAAAUGUGUGAACACGCUUUUAUAUUUGAUUUUUGGCUGGGUAUUUAUAUAAAAGCCUAACAUAUCUUAAGAUUUUGCUGAUUUACCAUGGAAUCUCUUCAUUUCUUCUGCUGGGUUUUCUUUUCAAUACCCAAUUUCAUUAAUGGAUCUCACAAGGAUACGUGAGGUUGACGAGAAUGGCGUCACCCGCAUCGCCUAUUCUAUACCAAUAGCUUUCAAAUCUCAUUAGUCUUAAUCUCUCAAGCUCUACAGAAAAGAUUAUUGUUGAGCACAUACGGUGAGUUUUUCUUCAUUUAGUUUAUGGUGUUGCUCUGUUUCUUGAUAGUAUUGGAUUCUCUAUUUUUAUUUUCUAUUUGUCCUAAAAAAAUAUGAGACAUUGUUUUACCUAUCUCUUGAUGUAAUUUUUGUGGGUUUUGAUCCCUUUUUUGUCAGAUUCUCUGGUUCUUCAUUUUAUUGUGUUUCAUAUGCACUAACGUGCGUUGUUUUCAAUUAUUGUGUAACAUGCUUCUUAUUAUACAUGUUUCAAUCCAUUCUUUUUACCGUUCUGUAUAUCUAUGCGUAUAUUAUCGUAGAUAUUUUGAUGUUUAUGCAUUUUUUUUUUUUUUGGUCUUUCUGGAUCAACCCUAUGAACAGAAGAUCACAUUUUAAUUUGAAGUUUUUGAGUAAUUUCCAACCGUUAUAGUUACAAAUAGCCUUUUCAUUAUUGAUGGAUAUUGAUUGUACCUUUUCCUUGUUAUCCUUCUUUGCAAAUGUACAUUUUGUUGUCUACUUGAUGUUUAUGGGAUUUAUUUGGAGGCAUGAAAUUAAUAAGCAUGGCAAGCUGACCAUACUGGUAGAAUAGAUAGGCAAAGCCAUCAAUAGGUAGUUCGCCUAUUGAUAGCUUAAAUUAGAAGAGAUUAACAAUUGAGAAUCUAACAAACUUCACUAGUCUUGAACCAAGCUAUCCAGUUUAGUCAAUAUCCUAUGUAAGCAGAUAACAAAUUUUGGUUUUACUAGACAGAGAUCGUUGAUUGUAGAAGUUGUGAUUAUUUAUGGUGCUGAUUAUUUUGUACAUUUUGUUUUAAUUCAUUAUAAUUAAUUCUUUUCAAGUGGAACAAACAUUUUUCCUCUUGUUCUACCCAUUGUCAUUUCAUUUAAACAAUAUUUAAACAAGAUUGGUGGCUGUGGUAUGGACGUCAGAAGCAAACAAGGGUAAUCAACCCUUCUUGUCUUGAAUUUUCUUUUUACAAAUGUAAUAAUUAAUGUUCCAUAAUGAGUUUAUAAAUUCUUACACGAUAUCUUUGGUUUUGGUAGACACUUUCUGGACCCAUUAAUGCCCCUGCAAAGCUUCCGAACUGGAACUAUGGUGGGUCAAGCAUGGGCCAAGCUCUUAGAGAAGACUUUUAAGUCAUCUUAUAGUAAGCCGUCUUCCAUUUAAGAUAUUUUAUAAUGAAAUAUAUGCAUGCGCAUUAAUGCAUUGCAUGACGAUGAGACAAUCCUCAAACAAUUUACAAUGAUCCAUUCAGGAGGGUAAAUAACAUAUUGGUGAGUUAUUUUUCCCCUUAUUACUAAUAAAUAUUUUGUGUUUAAUUAUGUUGUUAUGUGGAUUAUAUGAUAUCGCCUUUUCUUUUUGCCUCAUAGAUCAUCUGUGAUGCUUACACCCUAGCUAGUGAGCCAAUUCCAACUAACAGAAGGAACAGUCUAACCAAAAUAUUUAGCAAUCCUAAUGUUGUUGCCGAAAAACCUUGCUUUCAUCAUUAUGUGCCAUUUGCGACUCCUCAUUUAGUUUACAUUUUACAAUCCCCAAUUUUUUAGAGCUAUAUCUAUAAUAGGUAUGGUGUUGAGCAAGAAUACACCUUGUUGCAAAAGGAUGUUGGACCUCAAAUAGUCAUCGCCGUCCGAUCAUCAAUCAGUUCUCUUUCUUUUGGAACCGCAAGGUGGCAACUCAGAUCGAUGGGAGACUAAAAUGAUGCCUUAAUACAUCAUCCAAACUCCGCUGUCCAUGCCCAUGCAAGGCUCUUUUUAUGAUCCUAGCAUCCUACCUUUUUAUGUUUGUCUAUUCGUCAUCUUAAUCUUUUCAGUUGUUAAUAGUGGCGGAUCCAGAGGAUGGCCGCCCUAGCUGGAUCCACCGGGAUUUUUUUGGAUGCGUAACCUGCGUAGUGAUAUCGUUGUGGUCCCUGAAGCCAUAGUUAAUUCAAACAGGAGGUCACCAGUAAGGUAUAUACUUUUCUCCAAUCUUCUACGUGUGAUCAUUUUGGGUAAAAAAUUUUGAGCAGUCAAACUUCCACUGUUAUGCUCUUAAUUCAAUUAGAGAAGAAAUCUCACAAAUUGAGAAAGAAAAUGCUGAUGUUGAUAACAAUGUUUUCAAGGUAAAUGCGUUCCUUUGGGUCGACCUUUGCGGCUGUUUGAUGAAAGCUGGGUUUACAAUUCUUAUAUGUCCCAUUUGUAUACAUUAUUUUGAUGAUGACAUCUGCUAUUUCAUGAAAGUCAAUUUACAAAAUGACUCCGUAUCGUUAAAAAUAUAAAAUAAAUUAAUCAAUCUACAUG